GGGCGUUGCAUUGACUGUGGCUAACAGGGCUGUGAUUUUGUAAUAUAUUCGUUUUUAUUCUAUAGCUAGUCACCACUUCAGUUUAAUCAUGUAUAUCUAUUAUAUAGUCAUUUUAACAAAUUUACUGUUUACAAAACUAUGCAUUAUUCUUGAUAAUAAUGAUGUUUCUGUCCCAGGCGGAUAACCCUGGCUUCACAACUUUUUGGAACUUUUGAUCCUCGGCGAUCUUCAACUUUGUAGUUGUUAUGGCUUUCAAACUUUUUACAUCUGAGCAUAGUUUUGUGUGAACGUGUGGACGUAGCGCGUCUGGCGUAUAAAAAUAUUUUUUAACCUGUUACCUUUUGAUGGCUAUUAUUCGUUUGUUUCUCUGUCCUAUAUUUGCUACCAUUUAUCAUAUCUAUUUAUUGUAACCCUGUCGUGUAAUGUUGUCAAUUUAAUGUUAUAAUUAACACUGCCAUUAAAGCGGGAGGUUUGGCAUGCCACAAAACCAGGUUCAACCCACC
rnacentral:lncRNA from 1 species